AAAUAUGCUUCCAAAUGAUCGAGAUAUUUUUUUGCAACUUUAUGAUGAUGAAGCGAGGUCUGCUAAUUUAGCAAGAUUACGGAUGGCAUUAUUGGGGUUAGCUCAUCCUAACUUUCAAGGUUUGUGUAGCUUCUUAGUUUCUGACAGUUCUUGUGUUGAUAUUACUUGAUGAUUUGGCACUUGAAUCAGGUGUGCGUGCUACCCCAAUACUUGAAGUGGCAUGCCAAAAUGUGGAGUAUGUAGUUGGGAUUGGGGAAUUCGCGGGAUCAACACCUCAGUCAAGAAGGGCAACCAUGAUUAGAAAUUUCGGAAUAUAUAGAAGACUGGCUGAGGCUUUAGUAGGGCAUGCACUUGCCAAUUGCAAGAUUUUGAUCUUUAGCCACCUCGCCAGCAUAAGGGCAAGGGUUGUUCAUCAUUUUGCACCGUUGCCACCUCUGGGAAACAUCACUAGUCUGACGAGAGCAGACCAGGACAUGGCUGCGUUUUUUAUAGCUGAUAGAAUAGAUGUUGAGCCUGAGAAUGUGCAAAAUUUGAUUUGUUGGGGAAUCAAUUCCUCUAUACAACACGUGGACAUCACUCA